GGAAGGCUCUGCAAUGCUCCCCUGCUCACCAGGUCACAAUAGAGAUGAACGAGCCUGUGCAGCUGACCUUCGCCCUGAGGUACCUGAACUUCUUCACCAAAGCCACCCCCCUGUCCCCCACGGUGACGCUCAGCAUGUCUGCAGAUGUUCCUCUGGUUGUGGAGUACAAGAUCGCUGACAUGGGACACCUCAAGUACUACCUGGCCCCCAAGAUCGAGGACCAGCAGGAUGGCUCUUAACUGGAGCAGGGCUGGGGACAUCUGCUCCUGCCUGGAGGGAGGAGCAGCUCCAGGGCCUGGGGGCGCCCUGGCAGCGCUGUAGCCGUGUCUUGUAGAUAUAUUUGUAAAUAUUUUUCAACACUCUGUUUUUGCUAUCCUGGUGUCCUUGGAAAGAGGAAAGCUGAGUUUUUCUGGUCUGUUCCUGCACUCCCAACAAUCUCUUGGAUGCUGUUGAAGGUGAAAUGUUUUACUCCUUUCAGCUGCUGUUGGAGAAGAGGGGCAAUAUUUAAUGUCCAAGGUGUAUCCUGGAGUUUCCCUGUGCAGUUGUAGCUUAGGGUUGCUGUUUUGUUAUCCCACGAGUUUGUUACCUUACUUCAUUUAUUUUUGAAGCCGAUAUUCUGAUUGAAAUUUGGAAAACGGAAAUAAAAAACAUAAUUUCCUGGA